GAGUGCAUUCUGAAGAUUCCAACUGAUAUCAGGAUAGAAAAAUCAGACUGGGGACCGUUUUCCCUUUGGUUAAGGAUUUUAUGUUAGACCCUCUUAAAUAUAAAUCUCAAAUGAGGUAAAGGGUGUGAAAGGUAAAUAAACUAAACAUACAACAGCUUGUAGUGAGGUAUACCAACGAGGUAUAUGAAUAUGUCUUUAGAAUAUGAUUAAGUAUGUAGAAAGGUGAUUAGGUGAAAAUGUAUCCAUAUUCAAGACUGUUUUAUCAACUGAAGAUUGGUAUUCCUGCGUUCUUCCCUGGAAGUUCAGAUUUGCAUGUGUACAUGGUUUUGAUGCUAAUAGAGAGCAAAGCUAAAUUCCUCUACAGUUAAUG
rnacentral:lncRNA from 1 species